AAAUUGAAGAGUUUGAUCAUGGCUCAGAUUGAACGCUGGCGGCAGGCCUAACACAUGCAAGUCGAACGGUAACAGGAAGCAGCUUGCUGCUUCGCUGACGAGUGGCGGACGGGUGAGUAAUGUCUGGGAAACUGCCUGAUGGAGGGGGAUAACUACUGGAAACGGUGGCUAAUACC
rnacentral:rRNA from 4 species